rnacentral:SRP_RNA from 1 species
GCUAUGGUUUGUUGAGCUGGGUUGGUAGCUGCAAUAUGCUGGCCUGCACGCUCCAAGUUGGCAAAGCUUGGGCCAAAGCUUGGGCCAAAGCUUGGGUCUCUUUGUUCCUAGACAAGAGGGCACUGCGUGAGGCUGGUUUCACAGAGCAGCGAACACCUCUGGCUCUUGACGGUGGAGGGAUAACAGGCUGUAGCACUUUCAGCCCAUUAAGCUUGGUGAGCCUAGCC